rnacentral:piRNA from 2 species
GUGGUGGUGGUGGUGGUGGUGGUGAUG